GGAAAACUCGGAAAUAUUUUCACCGUUAUCGUUUUGUGCACUAUGACACGCAAAACCAUGGACGCUCACGCGAUCAUCCGCAGCAGUCUACAGCUGUUUAUUUAAGUUUUAAGAAUGGACAGAGACAGAUUCUACUUCUUCUUCUACUUAUAAACAGAUAAAUUGAAUUGGGUGACUUGUCGAUUAACUAGAAGAAACCGGGGAACGAAACAUAGAAAUGAAAGUCUAGAGAAGGUCAACGACAACGCAACGAAAGUUCGAAAUGUCGAAAGUGUUUUGUUUUCAUCAAGGAUUUGUAUUGUCUAACUAUCAAAUCCUUGUUUUCAUGGAUUACGUACAUUUAUGUACCUUAAAAAGGCAACGAAAGGGCAAGUCUAGAUCUUUUGGUCUUCUUUUUAAACAGAGCAGCCAGCAAUUAUUUCAUGACGAGAGCUUGUUACCAAAUGAAAGGAAAGUGCAGUAUUAGAAUCACUGAGGUUCAUGUUACGACGUACAUUUAGGUGCAAAUCUAGAUGUCCUGUAAAAAAAACCUGGUAUCAAAGAACUGAAAAGUAAAGAAACAGAACCAAAGAACAUUCAUUUUAAAUUAAUACAAUAUUGAACUCAAAAGUCAA